AAAGGCACCAGAGAGUGCAGAGUCCAGCUCAGGAUACACCGGAAUCUACCAUAUGUAAAUUUUGCUGCUGCUGUCUCUUUGGAUUUGGGCCAUUUUUAAGAGGUGUAACACUCACUGUGAAGUUCUGUAGCUCCAUUCUUCAAGUUAGCGAGACCACGAACCUGCCGGAAGGAACCAACUCCGGACAUAGCAGAUCAAGAAGGCAGUCAGAAGUGGGUAAGGACGUGGCCAUCAAAGAGUACUGAGUGUUAACAAUAAGACCAAAAGUAAAGGAACAGUGUAGUUCUACGGUUUUUGC
rnacentral:lncRNA from 10 species